GAUGAAGACCGUAGCGAAAUGCGAUAAGUAAUGCGAAUUGCAGAAUUCCAGUGAGUCAUCGAAUCUUUGAACGCACAUUGCGCCCUUUGGUAUUCCGAAGGGCAUGCCUGUUCGAGCGUCAUUAUCACCCCUCAAGCCCUCGGCUUGGUGUUGGACGGUUUGGUGGAGGCCCCCUCGGGGGCUCCUGCCCCUCCCAAAGACAAUGACGGCGGCCUCGUUGGACCCCCGGUACACUGAGUUCUUCACGGGACACGUAUCGGACACAUGGGUUUACGGGACACGGUCUGCCUCCCCUCAGGGAGAAUCUUUCUAAGGUUGACCUCGGAUCAGGUAGGGAUACCCGCUGAACUUAAGCAUAUCAAUAAGCGGAGGA
rnacentral:misc_RNA from 1 species